rnacentral:lncRNA from 1 species
CUAUUAUAGUGUAUAGUAUUAGUUAUAUGUAUGUAUAUAUAUAUAUAUACCCCGCUAUGUAUGUAAUGUAUACUAUGUAUGUAUGGUAUGUUAAUGUAUGUAAUGUAUAUAUAUAUAUACUGUAUGUACUGUAUGUAUGUAUGUAUGUAUAUAUAUAUAUAUGUACUGUAUGUACUGUAUGUAUGUAUGUAUGUAUAUUAUAUAUAUAUGUAUGUAUCGGUAUGUAUGUAUGUAUGUAUGUACUAUAUACUAUUAAUGUUGUAUGUAUUGUAUGUAUGUAAUGUAUAAUAUAUAUAUAUAUACGUAUAUAUAGUGUAUAUAUAUAUGUAAUGUAAUGUAUAUACUUAUAUGUAUAUAUGUAUGUAUGUACUAUAUAUGCAUAUAUGUAUGUUAUGUAAUGUAUAUAAUAUAUGUAUGUUUUAUGUAAUAUAAUAUAUGUAUGUAAUGUAUGUAUAUUAUAUAUUGUAUUAUGUAUGUAUGUACAUAUAUUAUAUAUAUAUGUAUGUAUGUAUGUAGCAUUAUAUAUAUAUAUGAUGUAUCGUAAUGUACAUAUAUAUAUAUUCUAAUAUAUAUAUAUAAUCCGGCUGGGGUACUAUCGAUAGCACCAAGGAUUUGGUGCUAUCGAGUUUUGCACCGUUAGAUUUAACCCUUUGAUUAUUUUUAUCCGUUAGAUUAUACUAUUUAACCAACCACUCACUCAACUCUAGGGGGCCCACAUUAUCCUAACCACCCAUUUAUCAAUUCAAGGGCUAAAAAAUCAAUAGCACCAAUAGCUUUGUGCUAUUGAUAGUAUUCCGGCAUAGUUAUAUAUAUAUAUAUAUAUAUAGUUGAGCUAGAAUACUAUCGAUAGCAAACGGACUCCGUUGCCACCCAUUUGUUUUCGAUUAUAGAGCCUCUAAAUCGACAACCGGCACCGUUGAGCAUGAUCUAUACCAUUUGAAGUGUUUAGAAAUCAAAUUUCAGAUCUUUCCAACAUCAUUUGCCUAAUGAUCAAAUGAUUUCAAAUUUCGUAAUUUUAAUUAUCGAUAUGAGGCUUUUUCUCGUUUAACGGCGUAAAGAUAUCCAAAUCAAUUAAAUUUUUGUUAGAAAAUUCUUUAAACUAUUUAAAACAAGAUCUAUACUCUUGAUCUUGAUUACAAGACUCCUAUCAUCAUUUUUUAAAGAAUAUUCAUUUUCAACCGUUCAUUUUUGUGUCGACUCGAUGGAUAAGAGAACAAUGUUGAAAAUGUAUGAAAUUUGAUUUCUAAACACUUCAAGUGGUAUAGAUCAUGUUCAAUGGUGCCGAUCGUCGAUAUGGAGGCUCCAUCAUCGAAAAUAAAUGGAUGGCAACGGAGCCCGUUUGCUAUCGAUAGUAUUCUAGCUCAACUCUCUCUCUCUCUCUCUCUNAAUUUUGACUUUUUAAUUUAUCUUUUUUAGGAAGUUAAUAUUGAAAAUACUCUUUCUACGUUCUAAUAUAUUUCUAAUAUAUCUCUAGAGUUAAAAUCUGUUAAUUAACUCUGUUAUCUCUAUAAAAUUACUAUUUUGCCCCUUCAAAUAUAUUUUUUCAUUAUUACUGUUUUUCUUAUUUGCUUUUAAAGUCAAGGGCAAAAAAAAUAUUUUAAUUUUUGGUCUUUUCCAAUAUACCUCUCUACCGUCACCAACAUUUCUUAUUUACCCUUAGGUUAAGAGUAAAAUUGACAUUUUAAUUUUUUUUUAAUUGUGAUAGAUAUUUAACUCACGUUUAAACCAAGUUAACUUAACAGGAGAUAACUGCGGAGGUAUUUUGCAAUACCAGUGGAAUAUAUGAGGGGUAUUUUAGAAAGAAGAAAGGUAUUUUAGAAAGAAGAAAAAAAAGGGUAAAUCAAAUAUUUUUAAACGUAUGAGUGGUAUAUAUAGAGGCAAUUAUCUCUGGUUUAUAUAUGACAUUAAAUCAUUUUUCUUUUUUGUAGAGUAUCCUCGAUUUAACUUACAAAUGAAAUAUAUUCUACAACUUCAUGCACACAGUUAAAAUAUUUCUAUACACAGAAUGAUGCCGAAGCGCUUAUCAAUGACAGAAUUCAUCCACAUGUAAGGGCACGUUUGGUUGUCCGUAAGUGAUCGAAGUGAAAAAAGUCACUUUUCAAAAAGUGACUUUUAUAGAAGUCACUUUUGAGUUCGAGUAUUUGGUUUCAAAAAGAUGAAAGAAAAAAAUACAGUUUUUAUAACUUCUAUUGUUUGGUUCUAUAUAAGAAAAUAAAAAAAUAAAAUAACUUUUUUUAGAUACGUAGUUUUUUUUUUUUUUUUUUGGUAGAUGGUAUGGAAUAAGGCACAUCUCUUUUUUUUCUUUUUUUUUUGAAAAAAAAGGGAUGUUGGUUUUUUUUCGUUAAAAUAAGGUGUUUUUUUUAUUUUUUAUUUUUUAUUUUUUGUAGAUGGUAUGGAAAAAGAUUUUGAAUGCGGUUCGUAAGUCGUAUGGAGUAGGCGCCCCACUUUCAACGACUGCGAAAUUUUUUUUGCCAAAGUCAAAAAAAUGAAUUUUAGUUAUAAUUCACUUCGCGGGUUUACUUUUCAAAAGUCACUUACAUAUUUACUUUCAUAAUCCAAACAACCGAAAUAAUCUUAUUUCAUCAAAAUAUUAUUUUUAUUGUUUCACUUAUGAGCAACCAAACAUGCCCACAAUACUAAAUAAUCUGAUCAUUCUAUGUACAAAAAAUUUUUACAUACAGAACAUGUCUAACGAGCACACCUUUCUUACAACCUAUUCUUGAGCCCUGCUUCACUUUUUAUUUUUCUUUUCUAUAUAUAUUUUUAAUCCUAUAUAUUUUCAUACUCACAUGCACCAAAAAUCAGGGAAUAGUUUGAACACUGUUUCCUACGCGGUUUCAUUCCUUCUCCCUUUCUAGUUUCUAGUGUCGGCCUCUUGUAAAAAUUAAAGCCCACCGUUUGAUCCCAAUCAAGCAGGAAUCUUUAAUAAUAAUUGCCUUUAUUAAGUAUUAAAUUAUUAAUUAUUGUUAUUUUUUCACUAAACCAGUGGCACACAUUUGAGAUGGAGCCUCCUCUUUCCAAAACCAAUGGCUCUAAUUAGAUGUGAUCAUUAUAACAUUCCAAACCAAUAUAUCACUUUCCAAACAUUUGUUUCUACACACUUUCCAAACCUAUAAUUAGUUAUAGGUUAAUUCAGUUGCAGCACUACUACCACUGGCCAAUGGUUUCCAAAACAAGUCUCCAAAAAAAAAAAAACACGAAAAAAACAUGUUUUUUAGAGGUUAAGCCCGUAAGCAAUUUACUAAUUAAGACUAUAUUUCGAUUGCGGAAUAACACAGGGAGAGUAAAAGUGUUGGAACAAAUAUCGCAUAGGAAUCUGAUUGCAAUUAAAAUCUAACUAACUUUGUGAUAAAAAUAAAAACAAACAAACAUACAGAUAAAUACAAAUAAAUCAACUCACAGAUAAUCGCUAAAUUCCAAAAUUGUGGAAAAAGAAUAUCAACAUAUUAAUCCGGAAGCGUACGAGGCACUGCCCUAAGGCGUAUUCCCGUCCUUACGUGCGGGAUUAACCGGAAAUAACACCCCAAGGUACGACCGAAAUUCCUCAUUCUGCAAGCACGAUCGUGAAGGAGGUUGAAGGAGAUUCUCAACACCCAGUAGAUAAGAAGAAUAUUCAAAUAGUAAAAGAUAAGUGAUGAAUAGAUAAAGAUUAACAAAAUUAUAUAAAUCUCAUUUUUCAAUGAGAAAAAAAAAAAAAGGAGAUCAAAGUAUCGAAGAAAGGGAAAGAGAAUUCACGCUCUUUUUCUUACGAGAAAGAAGUGGAACCACGAGAAAGAAGCGGAACCGCACAACGGAACGAGUUCCUUUUGGCGCAAGAAACGGAACGGAAAUAUUCCGUUAGUACCUUUCUCACUAAGAAAGAUAAUAAAAUAAUUAAAUAAAAUAAAAUAAAUAAAGUAGUAAAUAAAUAGAAUCAUAAAUAAUAAAUAAUAAAUAAUUUAAAGUUCAAAUAAAAUAAAUUCAAACUCAAAAUUUUGAGUUUUUCACCAACAAUCCCCCACAAAACUCAAAAUUUUAAAAUUACGAAUUAAAAUCAAAUUUACUGGGUGUUUUAUACUAUGCAAUGGGUGAGGUGUCUUUAAGAGACUUAACCCCACUUAGUGUAAGUGAUUUCCAUCAGAAGGAAUCGG